AGAGUUUGAUCCUGGCUUAGGAUGAACGCUAGCUACAGGCUUAACACAUGCAAGGUCGAGGGGCAGCAUUGGAGUAGCAAUACUCAGAUGGCGACCGGCGCACGGGUGAGUAACACGUAUCCAACCUGCCGCUUACUCGGGGAUAGCCUUUCGAAAGAAAGAUUAAUACCCGAUGGUAUAAAGAGUUCGCAUGUUCUCUUUAUUAAAGAAUUUCGGUAAGCGAUGGGGAUGCGUUCCAUUAGAUAGUUGGCGGGGUAACGGCCCACCAAGUCUACGAUGGAUAGGGGUUCUGAGAGGAAGGUCCCCCACAUUGGAACUGAGACACGGUCCAAACUCCUACGGGAGGCAGCAGUGAGGAAUAUUGGUCAAUGGACGAGAGUCUGAACCAGCCAAAGUAGCGUGAAGGAUGACUGCCCUAUGGGUUGUAAACUUCUUUUAUAAGGGAAUAAAGUGAGGGACGUGUCCCUUUUUGUAUCGUACCUUAUGAAUAAGGAUCGGCUAACUCCGUGCCAGCCGCGGC
rnacentral:rRNA from 1 species